rnacentral:rRNA from 2 species
GCAGCAGUAGGGAUCUUCCGCAAUGGACGAAAGUCUGACGGAGCAACGCCGCGUGAGUGAUGAAGGUUUUCGGAUCGUAAAGCUCUGUUGUUAGGGAAGAACAAGUGCCGUUCAAAUAGGGCGGCACCUUGACGGUACCUAACCAGAAAGCCACGGCUAACUACGUGCCAGCAGCCGCGGUAAUACGUAGGUGGCAAGCGUUGUCCGGAAUUAUUGGGCGUAAAGGGCUCGCAGGCGGUUUCUUAAGUCUGAUGUGAAAGCCCCCGGCUCAACCGGGGAGGGUCAUUGGAAACUGGGGAACUUGAGUGCAGAAGAGGAGAGUGGAAUUCCACGUGUAGCGGUGAAAUGCGUAGAGAUGUGGAGGAACACCAGUGGCGAAGGCGACUCUCUGGUCUGUAACUGACGCUGAGGAGCGAAAGCGUGGGGAGCGAACAGGAUUAGAUACCCUGGUAGUCCACGCCGUAAACGAUGAGUGCUAAGUGUUAGGGGGUUUCCGCCCCUUAGUGCUGCAGCUAACGCAUUAAGCACUCCGCCUGGGGAGUACGGUCGCAAGACUGAAACUCAAAGGAAUUGACGGG